rnacentral:rRNA from 1 species
GAUGAACGCUGGCGGCGUGCCUAAUACAUGCAAGUCGAGCGAACAGACGAGGAGCUUGCUCCUCUGACGUUAGCGGCGGACGGGUGAGUAACACGUGGAUAACCUACCUAUAAGACUGGGAUAACUUCGGGAAACCGGAGCUAAUACCGGAUAAUAUAUUGAACCGCAUGGUUCAAUAGUGAAAGCCGGUUUUGCUGUCACUUAUAGAUGGAUCCGCGCCGCAUUAGCUAGUUGGUAAGGUAACGGCUUACCAGGGCAACGAUGCGUAGCCGACCUGAGAGGGUGAUCGGACACACUGGAACUGAGACACGGUCCAGACUCCUACGGGAGGCAGCAGUAGGGAAUCUUCCGCAAUGGGCGAAAGCCUGACGGAGCAACGCCGCGUGAGUGAUGAAGGUCUUCGGAUCGUAAAACUCUGUUAUUAGGGAAGAACAAAUGUGUAAGUAACUAUGCACGUCUUGACGGUACCUAAUCAGAAAGCCACGGCUAACUACGUG